CAUGCAUGUCUNAGUACGAGCCUAAGUAAGGUGAAACCGCGAAUGGCUCAUUAAAUCACACCUAAUCUACUGGAAUGUUAGCAGUUACUUGGAUAACUGAGGUAAUUCUUGAGCUAAUACAUGCGAAAAAUCUCGACUCACGGAGAGAUGCUUUUAUUAGAUCAAAACCAAACGGCUUCGGCUGUUUAAUCUUGAUGACUCUGAAUAACUUUGGGCUGAUUGUAUUGCCUUGUGCAGACAACGUUUCCUUCGAAGGUGUGCCCUAUCAACUGUCGACUGUGAUAUAGACGCUCACAGUGGUUUUGACGGGUAACGGGGAAUCAGGGUUCGAUUCCGGAGAGGGAGCCUUAAAAACGGCUACCACAUCCAAGGAAGGCAGCAGGCACGCAAAUUACCCAAUGGUCGAAGACCGAGGUAGUGACGAAAAAUAACAAUACAAGACUCUUCCGAGGCCUUGUAAUUGGAAUGAGUACACUUUAAAACCGUUCCCGAGGAUCUAUUGGAGGGCAAGUCUGGUGCCAGCAGCCGCGGUAAUUCCAGCUCCAAUAGCGUAUAUUAAAGUUGUUGUGGUUAAAAAGCUCGUAGUUGGAUUUCGGCGGGUAUUGGUCGGUUUGAAUUGCUUCAACACUGACUUUUUUACCCGUAUGUUUUGUCAGAAUUUAACGGGUGAUCUUCGCCGAUUGUCCGUUAGAACUGACAGGUUUACUUUGAAAAAAUUAGAGUGCUCAAAGCAAGCUUGAUUGCUUGAAUAUUCGUGCAUGGAAUAAUAGAAUAGGAAGUCGUUUCUAUUUUGUUGGU
rnacentral:rRNA from 1 species